rnacentral:rRNA from 1 species
UGCGGAGGGAGCUAGCGUUGUUCGGAAUUACUGGGCGUAAAGCGCACGUAGGCGGCUUUGUAAGUUAGAGGUGAAAGCCCGGGGCUCAACUCCGGAACUGCCUUUAAGACUGCAUCGCUUGAAUCCAGGAGAGGUGAGUGGAAUUCCGAGUGUAGAGGUGAAAUUCGUAGAUAUUCGGAAGAACACCAGUGGCGAAGUCGGCUCACUGGACUGGUAUUGACGCUGAGGUGCGAAAGCGUGGGGAGCAAACAGG